rnacentral:rRNA from 1 species
GACGAACGCUGGCGGCGUGCUUAACACAUGCAAGUCGAACGGGAGCGCCCGGUUCUUGCUGGGGGCAAGCGAGGGACGAAUGGGUGAGACACACGAGGGUGCCCAGCCCAUCAGAGGGGGAUAACAAACGGAGACGGAAUAUAAAAUCGGACAGGACGGUGAACCGCGGGGUUUGUAGGAGAAAAGGGGCGGUAGGUUCUGGAUAGGGGUGGACCCGCGUUGUAUUAGCUAGUUGGUGGGGUAACGGCUUACCAAGGCGGUGAUGCGUAGCCGAUCUGAGAGGAUGAUCGGCCACAUUGGGACUGAGACACGGCCCAGACUCCUACGGGAGGCAGCAGUAGGGAAUCUUCGGCAAUGGGCGCAAGCCUGACGCAGCAACGCCGCGUGUGUGAUGAAGGUUUUCGGGUCGUAAAGCUCUGUUGUUGGGGAAGAACAGGUGUUUGCGUAUACGAAGGCUCGUUGACGGUAUCUGGCGAAAAAGCAACGGCUAACUACGUG